GACGAACGCUGGCGGCGUGCCUAAUACAUGCAAGUUGAGCGCUGAAGGUUGGUACCUGUACCAACUGGAUGAGCAGCGAACGGGUGAGUAACGCGUGGGGAAUCUGCCUUUGAGCGGGGGACAACAUUUGGAAACGAAUGCUAAUACCGCAUAAAAACUUUAAACACAAGUUUUAAGUUUGAAAGAUGCAAUUGCAUCACUCAAAGAUGAUCCCGCGUUGUAUUAGCUAGUUGGUGAGGUAAAGGCUCACCAAGGCGAUGAUACAUAGCCGACCUGAGAGGGUGAUCGGCCACAUUGGGACGGAGACACGGCCCAAACUCCUACGGGAGGCAGCAGUAGGGAAUCUUCGGCAAUGGACGAAAGUCUGACCGAGCAACGCCGCGUGAGUGAAGAAGGUUGUCGGAUCGUAAAACUCUGUUGGUAGAGAAGAACGUUGGUGAGAGUGGAAAGCUCAUCAAGUGACGGUAACUACCCAGAAAGGGACGGCUAACUACGUG
rnacentral:rRNA from 1 species